AGCGAACGCUGGCGGCAGGCUUAACACAUGCAAGUCGAACGCCCCGCAAGGGGAGUGGCAGACGGGUGAGUAACACGUGGGAACGUACCCUUUGGUUCGGAAUAACUUGGGGAAACUCAAGCUAAUACCGGAUAAGCCCUUAUGGGGAAAGGUUUACUGCCGAAGGAUCGGCCCGCGUCUGAUUAGCUAGUUGGUGAGGUAAUGGCUCACCAAGGCGACGAUCAGAAGCUGGUCUGAGAGGAUGAUCAGCCACACUGGGACUGAGACACGCCCCAGGCCCCUCCGGGAGGCAGGAGUGGGGAAUAUUGGACCAUGGGGGCAACCCUGAUCCAGCCAUACCGCGUGAGUGAUGAAGGCCUUAGGGUUGUAAAGCUCUUUUACCCGGAACGAUAAUGACUGUACCGGGAGAAUAAGCCCCGGCUAACUUCGUGCCAGCCGCCGCCGUAA
rnacentral:rRNA from 1 species